GCUGAAAGAUGGCCUCGCGUCUGAUUAGCUAGUUGGUGGGGUAACGGCCCACCAAGGCGACGAUCAGUAGCCGGUCUGAGAGGAUGAACGGCCACAUUGGGACUGAGAUACGGCCCAGACUCCUACGGGAGGCAGCAGUGGGGAAUAUUGGGCAAUGGGCGAAAGCCUGACCCAGCAACGCCGCGUGAAGGAAGAAGGCCCUCGGGUUGUAAACUUCUUUUACCAGGGACGAAGGACGUGACGGUACCUGGAGAAAAAGCAACGGCUAACUACGUGCCAGCAGCCGCGGUAAUACGUAGGUUGCAAGCGUUGUCCGGAUUUACUGGGUGUAAAGGGCGUGUAGGCGGAGAUGCAAGUUGGGAGUGAAAUCCAUGGGCUCAACCCAUGAACUGCUUUCAAAACUGUAUCCCUUGAGUAUCGGAGAGGCAAGCGGAAUUCCUAGUGUAGCGGUGAAAUGCGUAGAUAUUAGGAGGAACACCAGUGGCGAAGGCGGCUUGCUGGACGACAACUGACGCUGAGGCGCGAAAGCGUGGGGAGCAAACAGGAUUAGAUACCCUGGUAGUCCACGCUGUAAACGAUGAAUACUAGGUGUGGGGGGACUGACCCCCUCCGUGCUGCAGUUAACACAAUAAGUAUUCCACCUGGGGGAGUACGACCGCAAAGGUUGAAACUCAAAAGGAAUUGACGGGG
rnacentral:rRNA from 1 species